AUGCUGGAGGUAUCAGAAGUGCGAAUGCUGACAUAAGUAACGAUAAAGCGGGUGAAAAGCCCGCUCGCCGGAAGACCAAGGGUUCCUGUCCAACGUUAAUCGGGGCAGGGUGAGUCGACCCCUAAGGCGAGGCCGAAAGGCGUAGUCGAUGGGAAACAGGUUAAUAUUCCUGUACUUGGUGUUACUGCGAAGGGGGGACGGAGAAGGCUAUGUUGGCCGGGCGACGGUUGUCCCGGUUUAAGCGUGUAGGCUGGUUUUCCAGGCAAAUCCGGAAAAUCAAGGCUGAGGCGUGAUGACGAGGCACUACGGUGCUGAAGCAACAAAUGCCCUGCUUCCAGGAAAAGCCUCUAAGCAUCAGGUAACAUCAAAUCGUACCCCAAACCGACACAGGUGGUCAGGUAGAGAAUACCAAGGCGCUUGAGAGAACUCGGGUGAAGGAACUAGGCAAAAUGGUGCCGUAACUUCGGGAGAAGGCACGCUGAUAUGUAGGUGAAGUCCCUCGCGGAUGGAGCUGAAAUCAGUCGAAGAUACCAGCUGGCUGCAACUGUUUAUUAAAAACACAGCACUGUGCAAACACGAAAGUGGACGUAUACGGUGUGACGCCUGCCCGGUGCCGGAAGGUUAAUUGAUGGGGUCAGCGCAAGCGAAGCUCUUGAUCGAAGCCCCGGUAAACGGCGGCCGUAACUAUAACGGUCCUAAGGUAGCGAAAUUCCUUGUCGGGUAAGUUCCGACCUGCACGAAUGGCGUAAUGAUGGCCAGGCUGUCUCCACCCGAGACUCAGUGAAAUUGAACUCGCUGUGAAGAUGCAGUGUACCCGCGGCAAGACGGAAAGACCCCGUGAACCUUUACUAUAGCUUGACACUGAACAUUGAGCCUUGAUGUGUAGGAUAGGUGGGAGGCUUUGAAGUGUGGACGCCAGUCUGCAUGGAGCCGACCUUGAAAUACCACCCUUUAAUGUUUGAUGUUCUAACGUUGACCCGUGAUCCGGGUUGCGGACAGUGUCUGGUGGGUAGUUUGACUGGGGCGGUCUCCUCCUAAAGAGUAACGGAGGAGCACGAAGGUUGGCUAAUCCUGGUCGGACAUCAGGAGGUUAGUGCAAUGGCAUAAGCCAGCUUGACUGCGAGCGUGACGGCGCGAGCAGGUGCGAAAGCAGGUCAUAGUGAUCCGGUGGUUCUGAAUGGAAGGGCCAUCGCUCAACGGAUAAAAGGUACUCCGGGGAUAACAGGCUGAUACCGCCCAAGAGUUCAUAUCGACGGCGGUGUUUGGCACCUCGAUGUCGGCUCAUCACAUCCUGGGGCUGAAGUAGGUCCCAAGGGUAUGGCUGUUCGCCAUUUAAAGUGGUACGCGAGCUGGGUUUAGAACGUCGUGAGACAGUUCGGUCCCUAUCUGCCGUGGGCGCUGGAGAACUGAGGGGGGCUGCUCCUAGUACGAGAGGACCGGAGUGGACGCAUCACUGGUGUUCGGGUUGUCAUGCCAAUGGCACUGCCCGGUAGCUAAAUGCGGAAGAGAUAAGUGCUGAAAGCAUCUAAGCACGAAACUUGCCCCGAGAUGAGUUCUCCCUGACUCCUUGAGAGUCCUGAAGGAACGUUGAAGACGACGACGUUGAUAGGCCGGGUGUGUAAGCGCAGCGAUGCGUUGAGCUAACCGGUACUAAUGAACCGUGAGGCUUAACCUUACAACGCCGAAG
rnacentral:rRNA from 1 species